rnacentral:rRNA from 1 species
UACGUAGGGUGCGAGCGUUGUCCGGAUUUAUUGGGCGUAAAGAGCUUGUAGGCGGUUUGUCGCGUCUGCUGUGAAAGCCCGGGGCUUAACUCCGGGUCUGCAGUGGGUACGGGCAGACUAGAGUGUGGUAGGGGAGACUGGAAUUCCUGGUGUAGCGGUGAAAUGCGCAGAUAUCAGGAGGAACACCGAUGGCGAAGGCAGGUCUCUGGGCCAUUACUGACGCUGAGAAGCGAAAGCAUGGGGAGCGAACAGG